CUGGGGGGAGGUUGUACUGCGCUCAUCUCCAGAGGUCCCUUCCAGCCCCUGUGUUUCUGUGACAGGUGGAUGUGUGAAGGAAGACAGCCAGCAGGUGGAAGUUUGGUGGCUUUCCAGAGUCAAAGCAUGGCAGCCCUGCAAUGCCGUCGCGUGUUUGUGUGUCAUCAGCCACGUCCCUCCUUUUGCUUCCAUUCACUGCAAUGGGAGCUGAGUCGAGUGCACCUACAGGGAUGGGGCACCCACAGCCUCUCUGUGCAGCAGUGCCAGGGCCUCAGCUCCGUCUGUGAUGAAAUUCCCUGACAUUUAAUGCAAAUCUCCCCAUUAAAACCAUUCCCCUUUGUCCCAUCACCAUCUCAACACGUAAAAAGUUCAUUUUCAUCAUGUUUAUCAUCUCCCUUGAAACAAAGGAAGUCCACAAUGAGCAGCCACACCAAGCGUUGGUGACAGGGCAGGCACAGAGCAGUGCCUGUGACAGUGUCACAGAGAGUCCUUGUGAGCUCAGGGGAGAGGGGCUGACCUCAGCAGUCACGGAACCCCCCGCUGCCACUCUCAAGCUCCCUUGGCAGGUAAGGCAGCAGGCUCCUCCUGCUCCUGGCAUUGAGGCCCUCCAGCUGAUCCCACUGCCCCCGAUCUCACCCCAGUGCCCAUUUGGGCAUUUCUCCACAGACAGAACCCCUUCAGGGAUGCUGACGGUGCUUCCGACACCUGACGCCGCUGUAUUUGGAUCUUUUGUGCCACCACCGACCACUGCUGCAAUGCAGCCCAGCAUCGGUGGAUCAGUGCCAGUGUCACCGCAACCCCUCCCUGUCCCCAGUGGCACCCACAUGGUGCCUCAGGCCUCUGUCUGGCCUGGGGUACUAGGUGACCAGGGACAGGGAGCGCAGCUCCCACCUGGGGGGCCGCCUCCAACUGUGGUUCAGCUGCCACCUGGGGGGCAGCAAUUACCACUGUUGAUGCUCCUACCUGGGGGGCUGCACCCAGGCAUGGCUCCCCCCACGGCCCCUGCCUGCUGCUGGGGGCAUCCCCUGCUGGCAGGGAUGCUGCAGCCCCAGCAGCCAAUGGGGCUGUGGCCUGGGGCCGUGUUCCAUGGGGAGCCCCCGCCGCCUGCAGGCAGCUGCCCGCUGCAGGCCCCCAGAUGCCCUGUCCUUCCACCAGCACCUUCAGAGCAGCAGCAGGUGCUCCCCGUGCCCUGCACCCUGCCCAGCAGCUGGGAGCAGAUAGCGGCGUCCUUUGGAGAUGCCGUGGUGCACACAGAGGACCAGGGGCAUCCAGCACCCACCAACGUGUCCCCCCGUCCCACCACGGCUCCACACACCUGUAGCACCUCAGCGUUGGAAUCAGGGACAAUGAGCGUAGACAUCUCAGAGGACAUCAUGGACACUGAUGACCUCCUGACAUGGAUGAACAAUGAAGUGGCAUCCAACACAGAGAUCCCAGACGACAUCCUGGACAUGGAUGACCUCCUGACGUGGGUCAACAACGGUGAGUCUGGGCGCUGCAGAGCUGGCGGUUGGGUGUCUGCAUUGAGUGGCUGUGGGAAUGCUGUGAUCAUAUUCUUGCUUUUCCAGAAGUGACAAGUCGUCUGGAAGUCCCCCAGCAGAACCAGGACCUGGUUGGUGUCCAAGCAGAGGGGACCGAACACACUGAGACUGCGGAAGAGGAAAAUGGUCCUGCUGAUGAGCUGCUGCCAGAACUGAACAUCCAGGAAAGGGCAGAGCUGCUGCAGUGGAUUGAUGCCACACAGCCACUGAGCCCAGCUGUCCCCAGUAGCCUCAAUAGUGCUCCUUUCAUCACAGUGCUCUCUGAAUUUCCCUGGGCCAGCACGGAGCUCAGCGGAGAGGCAAAGGCUGACGCCAGGCCCAUCAGUGACCUGUUCUGGAGGCAGCCAGCAUGCUGUGGGCAGCUCUCCAAAUCGCUGCCUUGUGGGGAUCUGAUUGAAGAGGCACAGCAGAGGCAGCCAUGGGUGGUUCUCACCUGCCUGGCACUGCCAACCCCCCUGGAUGCUCCCGUGCCUCCUUCACCCCACACCACACGACUGAUAGAAGAGGUGCAGCAGAAGCAGCCCCGGGUGGUUCUCACCCGCCUGGCACUGCCACCUGGCUGUAUCUCCUGCCAUGUGCCAGGCAAUGACUACGAGGAUGGCACCGAGCCGGCCGAGUGCCCAGUGCCUGCCUGCACCACCAGGAAAGGCAAAAGCAGAGGGCACAAACAGCACGCUGGCAGCAACACAACCAGAAAGAGGAAGCUGCCCCUGGGCCAGGAUGCUCCAGGACAGAAACGCUGGCGCUAGGCAAAGCUGGGUGGACGCAGCACGACUGGGAGUGUCCUCAGAAACCGGCCCACGUGGUGCAGCAGGAGGCACGGCCAACAAAUAAGGCUACCUGUAGCCAGGGCUCCUCACCAGCCCAUACAGGGCACAUACAGAGCAGUGGCAGUACUCCAGGGGCACCAGCACUGGCCCCAGCCCUACCCCUCCAAACCUGGGCUGUCCACCAACAUCGUCUUGGACUGGGACAAUGUGGGACUGUGUUAAAUUAUGUUACGUUAAAUCCCGUUAGAUUCUGUUCAAUUAUG
ensembl:lncRNA